AUUGAACGCUGGCGGCAGGCCUAACACAUGCAAGUCGAGCGGAUGAAGGGAGCUUGCUCCUGGAUUCAGCGGCGGACGGGUGAGUAAUGCCUAGGAAUCUGCCUGGUAGUGGGGGAUAACGUCCGGAAACGGGCGCUAAUACCGCAUACGUCCUGAGGGAGAAAGUGGGGGAUCUUCGGACCUCACGCUAUCAGAUGAGCCUAGGUCGGAUUAGCUAGUUGGUGGGGUAAAGGCCUACCAAGGCGACGAUCCGUAACUGGUCUGAGAGGAUGAUCAGUCACACUGGAACUGAGACACGGUCCAGACUCCUACGGGAGGCAGCAGUGGGGAAUAGUGGACAAUGGGCGAAAGCCUGAUCCAGCCAUGCCGCGUGUGUGAAGAAGGUCUUCGGAUUGUAAAGCACUUUAAGUUGGGAGGAAGGGCAGUAAGUUAAUACCUUGCUGUUUUGACGUUACCAACAGAAUAAGCACCGGCUAACUUCGUG
rnacentral:rRNA from 1 species